rnacentral:rRNA from 1 species
AUUGAACGCUGGCGGCAUGCCUUACACAUGCAAGUCGAACGGUAACGGGCCUUCGGGUGCCGACGAGUGGCGGACGGGGGCGUAAUACAUCGGAACGUGCCCGAUCGUGGGGUAUAACGAGGCGAAAGCUUUGCUAAUACCGCAUACGACCUACGGAUGAAAGCAGGGGAACGCAAGGCCUUUUGCGGACGUGGCGGCCGAUGGCAGAUUAGGUAGUUGGUGGGAUAAAAGCUUACCAAGCCGACGAUCUGUAGCUGGUCUGAGAGGAUGAUCAGCCACACUGGGACUGAGACACGGCCCAGACUCCUACGGGAGGCAGCAGUGGGGAAUUUUGGACAAUGGGCGCAAGCCUGAUCCAGCCAUGCCGCGUGCAGGAUGAAGGCCUUCGGGUUGUAAACUGCUUUUGUACGGAAAGAAAAGCCUUAUUUUAAUACAGGAGGGUCAUGACGGUACCGAAAGAAUAAGCACCGGCUAACUACGUG